GACGAACGCUGGCGGCGUGCUUAACACAUGCAAGUCGAACGGAAAGGCCUCUUUCGGGGGGUACUCGAGUGGCGAACGGGUGAGUAACACGUGAGUAACCUGCCCUUGACUUUGGGAUAACUUCAGGAAACUGGGGCUAAUACCGGAUAGGAGCUCCUGCUGCAUGGUGGGGGUUGGAAAGUUUCGGCGGUUGGGGAUGGACUCGCGGCUUAUCAGCUUGUUGGUGGGGUAGUGGCUUACCAAGGCGUUGACGGGUAGCCGGCCUGUGAGGGUGAGCGGCCACAUUGGGACUGAGGUACGGCCCAGACUCCUACGGGAGGCAGCAGUGGGGAAGAUUGCACAAUGGGUGGAAGCCUGAUGCAGCAACGCCGUGUGCGGGAUGACGGCCUUCGGGUUGUAAACCGCUUUCGCUCAUGACGAAGCUUUGUGUGACGGUAGUGGGUAAAGAAGCACCGGCUAACUACGUG
rnacentral:rRNA from 1 species